rnacentral:misc_RNA from 1 species
GCUUAGUUGAGUUGAGUUGUAUGAUAUAAAUUCAAUAUAUAUGUGAAGAAUAGCUAUUCAACUGCCUUGAAUAGCUAUUCCAUUCCUACCCUAUUCCAUUUCAUGAACCAAAACAAGUGCUAUGGGUGGGACAUUAGAGCAAAGGGAGCAACUGAAAGAGUGAUGGUAUGAGAUCAAGUCACAUUCUUUAAAAGAAACCAGCUUAGCUUUUAACCGAUAUUCGGGAUUACAAGAUUAUUCAGUUCUUACUACAUAUUUCACUUACAGUCAUGCUGUUGUCCUAGCUAAUUGAAGAGAAUUCAACCACAACUCCAAGUUAAUACGGUUCAAUCAACAACGGUAGCUUCAAACAAAGGGAAGCAAACACAAAGCAA